AGUGAACGCUGGCGGCAGGCCUAACACAUGCAAGUCGAACGGCAGCACGAGAGAGCUUGCUCUCUUGGUGGCGAGUGGCGGACGGGUGAGGAAUACGUCGGAAUCUGCCUUUUUGUGGGGGAUAACGUAGGGAAACUUACGCUAAUACCGCAUACGACCUACGGGUGAAAGCGGAGGACCUUCGGGCUUCGCGCAGAAAGAUGAGCCGACGUCGGAUUAGCUAGUUGGAGGGGUAAUGGCCCACCAAGGCGACGAUCCGUAGCUGGUCUGAGAGGAUGAUCAGCCACACUGGGACUGAGACACGGCCCAGACUCCUACGGGUGGCAG
rnacentral:rRNA from 1 species